UUACCUUAUACCUUUCUAAUGGAAACUGAACUGGGAUUUUUUUGUCUACGCUGCUUCUUGCAGAUAGUCCAUGGUUUGUACAAAUAACCACAUGUAAAUCUUAAUUUAGUUGAUAUUGGAAAAGAUUGUUUCUUUGGAACCUUAUAUGUGGAGCAACUAGAAAUAGUACCUAUGUGUUUUUUCCUGGCUCCCACAUCAGACCAGUGCUCUAAUGUUUGUUCCAGGUUGAGCAUGGCAAUCAUGUACAGUUUGAACUUCGUGCUGGCAAAACUUUUUUGUCUUGAAGCAUUCUGUGAAUUACACCAUGAAUAGCAAGAACAUCAGGCCAUUUGAGAGAAGGGGUGUCCAGGAGUUCUCCCUAAAUCUUACUGCAUUCUUAGUGAUAAUGAGGAAUUAUUAUUCACUUGGGAAAAUAAAAAUUAAAACGGUGAGGCUCUCAAAAGUGAAAUGACUUUCUAAGCUGGACAUUGACCUUUUUUUGAGCUAGAUAUUGACUUUCUGAGUAGCACAAUAUAGGUCCUAUCUGAAGCCUUUUACGUGCCUGUUAUAAUGAUCUUUUUAUUUUCCUUUGCAUAUUAACUAGAGAAUAUUAUUGUCUGCUAUAACUGCUGAAAGAUGUCAUAUUCCUUUGUUAUAAUGCUGUUUGCAGUAGGAGGUGUACGCCUCUCGUUCAAAGAAGAGGCUCAACAAUCUUUUAGAUGGACUUAUGAUUACCACAUAUAUGAUCUUAUGAAGCAGGAGUUGAGAACUACAAAAUCCAUCUAUUCCUAGAAUGGAGCUGGUUGAAGUUGGGCCUUCAAUGGACCUGGUAGUUAGGUGGCACCGACGUUUAGUAAAGCCAAUUUUUUAUGAGGAAAUGCACCAAAAAAAGUUUAGUGGAAGUGGAUUAGAUUGUUUGUGGUCAUAUGCUCUUGAGAAAAUUUGCGCUUUCUUUAUUUCUUCUGAUUAUAUUUUUUUUGUUUAUUUCUAACUGACAUUGAUAUGCAAAAGAAAAUCCUGUGAUUUUUUUUGCCCUCUCAUUGACCAUUUAAUUUUUCAGUCAUAGCUAUAUACAAAGAAGUAUUGUACCAUAUAGUUUUGUCUUUUCGGAAAUGUCUAAAGGCCUGUUACAUGCAUCAUUUUCUCUUUCAUAUCCUUCAUUUGAAACUGAAAAUAUGAACCAUUUUGUUGAUAUGAACAUUAGUUGCAAGGUGAAUAAAUAGUGGUCGACAAUGUGGCUGGAUGUACAUGAGCAUAUGUUGUAUCUUUGACGCCAUUCAUUUUGAAUCAUUAGAAUAAUAAAAGAGGUUUGUUUGUAUAAUUAUUUUCCAGGUUUCUAAACACAUUUAUUUAUCUCUUUUGUAUCCAUUGCAACACAUAUGUUUCCCUAAAUAAAAUGACUGUACAAUUGUGUGAACUGAGUGGCUGGUCGUUACUGUAGAUUAAAUUUCUCACAUUAAGAAUCUUUGCCUGACGCUACAAAAAAUAUAUAUGUUUUGUAGCAGGAUUAGUGAUCAAAUAUAUCCUUUUUGUUGUAAAUAUUUUAGUCUGCUACUUUGUUCAUUAAUUUUUCUGGGCAUUUUUGCUUAAGUUUUAUUUCAAAGCAAAAUCAUAUCGAGCUAUCUACAAGUUAGAAUUGUCCAAAACAGUUUCUGUAACAUUGUAUAUCAUGUGUUUUCUCUUUUAUUCAUAACAUAAUAUGCAGUCACACAAUUUAUAUCUUGGUUGUGAAUUCCAGAGGGGAAGGUAGCCUUCCAGGCAGUUAGAGCUUCGUCACUUGGAAGGUAGACAAGCAAUGCAAGCCAACAAAGAAUUAGGGAAGCACCGAGUUCGCCGGACGUAGCAGAACGUUUGUCGAGCCAUCCAAUAUCGCCAACGGUGGCUACACCAGAGAUAAUUUGCUUCAGUUCAUCGAACUACCUGCUGAAACAUGUGUAUUGUUUCUCAAUAUAUUGGGCAUCAAUCCACCUCUCAUGAGAUCUCUGAAUUUUCGACACAUAUUGUAUUGUAUUUGCUGAAUUAUUUCCUCCAGAUAACUAUGCUUGGAUUCACAAAUGCGUGCAAUGCUUUCAAGUAGAGGUAGUUCAAUACUUAAGUUGUGCUAUUCCACUUUCAAGUUUUUGGUCCUAGAAGUGUAAUACUUGGUAGGUUAGCUGCAAAAGCGGAAUGUAUAUGGCCUGAAUUUAUAUUUCAGAGUGUAUAAUCUGAUUCAGAGUAUUUUGACCCCUUGCGUUCUAAAACGUUUUGUUGUA